AUUCCCCUAGUAACGGCGAGUGAACCGGGAAGAGCUCAAAUUUGAAAUCUGGCGUGCUCAGUGCGUCCGAGUUGUAAUCUAUAGAGGCGUUUUCCGUGCCGGACUGUGUCUAAGUCCCUUGGAACAGGGUAUCAAAGAGGGUGAUAAUCCCGUACUUGACACAAUGACCGGUGCUCUGUGAUACGUCUUCUACGAGUCGAGUUGUUUGGGAAUGCAGCUCAAAAUGGGUGGUGAGUUCCAUCUAAAGCUAAAUAUUGGCGAGAGACCGAUAGCGAACAAGUACCGUGAGGGAAAGAUGAAAAGCACUUUGGAAAGAGAGUUAAACAGUACGUGAAAUUGUUGAAAGGGAAACGAUUGAAGUCAGUCGUGACUGAGAGGCUCAGCCGGUUCUGCCGGUGUAUUCCCCUCAGUCGGGUCAACAUCAGUUUUGUUCGGUGGAUAAGGGCAGCUGGAAGGUGGCACCUCCGGGUGUGUUAUAGCCAGCUGUCGCAUACACCGAAUGAGACUGAGGAAUGCAGCUCGCCUUUAUGGCCGGGGUUCGCCCACGUCCGAGCUUAGGAUGUUGACAUAAUGGCUUUAAACGACCCGUCUUGAAACACGGACCAAGGAGUCUAACAUAUCUGCGAGUGUUUGGGUGUCAAACCCAAGCGCGUAAUGAAAGUAAACGUAGGAGGGAUCCGCAAGGAGCACCUUCGACCGAUCUGGAUCUUCUGUGAUGGAUUUGAGUAAGAGCAUAUAUGCUGGGACCCCAAAGAUGGUGAACUAUGCCUGAAUAGGGCGAAGCCAGGGGAAACUCUGGUGGAGGCUCGUAGCGAUCUUACGUGCAAUCGAUCGUCAAAUUUGGGUAUAGGGGCGAAAGACUAAUCAAACCAUCUUGUAGCUGGUUCCUGCCGAAG
rnacentral:rRNA from 1 species